rnacentral:rRNA from 1 species
AUUGAACGCUGGCGGCAGGCUUAACACAUGCAAGUCGAACGAGUGGCGGACGGGUGAGUAAUGUCUGGGAAACUGCCUGAUGGAGGGGGAUAACUACUGGAAACGGUAGCUAAUACCGCAUACCAUCGGAUGUGCCCAUAUGGGAUUAGCUAGUAGGUGGGGUAACGGCUCACCGAGGCGACGAUCCCUAGCUGGUCUGAGAGGAUGACCAGCCACACUGGGACUGGGACACGGUCCAGACUCGUACGGGAGGCAGCAGUGGGGAAUAUUGGACAAUGGGUGAAAGCCAGAUGCAGCCAUGCCGCGUGUAUGAAGAAGGCCUUCGGGUUGUAGAAUACUUUCGGCGGGGAGGCGUUACCUGCAGAAGAAGCACCGGCUAACUACGUGCCAGCAGCCGCGGUAAUUC